GGGCCUAUGGCGCAAUGGUUAGCGCAGGGGACUCAUAAUCCCUUGGUUCCAGGUUCGAGUCCUGGUGGGCCCA
rnacentral:tRNA from 1 species